rnacentral:tRNA from 2 species
GUGGAGGUGGCUCAGCAGGUGAGUACUUGCCACGUGAGCAUGAGGGCCUGGGUUCAAAUCCCCUGCAUCCACA